GGUGAAGAACGCAGCGAAAUGCGAUAAGUAAUGUGAAUUGCAGAAUUCAGUGAAUCAUCGAAUCUUUGAACGCACAUUGCGCCCGCUAGUAUUCUGGCGGGCAUGCCUGUCCGAGCGUCAUUUCAACCCUCAUGCCCCCGGGCUUGGUGUUGGGGAUCGGCGAGCCUCCGCGCCCGCCGUCCCCUAAAUCUAGUGGCGGUCUCGCUGUAGCUUCCUCUGCGUAGUAGCACACCUCGCACUGGGAAACAGCGCGGCCACGCCGUUAAACCCCCAACUUCUGAACGUUUGACCUCGGAUCAGGUAGGAAUACCCGCUGAACUUAAGCAUAUCAAUAAGCGGAGGA
rnacentral:misc_RNA from 1 species